rnacentral:rRNA from 1 species
AUUGAACGCUGGCGGAAUGCUUUACACAUGCAAGUCGAGCGGCAGCGCGGGGCAACCUGGCGGCGAGCGGCGAACGGGUGAGUAAUACAUCGGAACGUACCCAGUUGUGGGGGAUAACACAUCGAAAGAUGUGCUAAUACCGCAUACGACCUGAGGGUGAAAGCGGGGGAUCGCAAGACCUCGCGCGAUUGGAGCGGCCGAUGGCGGAUUAGCUAGUUGGUGGGGUAAGGGCCUACCAAGGCGACGAUCCGUAGCUGGUCUGAGAGGACGACCAGCCACACUGGAACUGAGACACGGUCCAGACUCCUACGGGAGGCAGCAGUGGGGAAUUUUGGACAAUGGGCGCAAGCCUGAUCCAGCCAUUCCGCGUGAGUGAAGAAGGCCUUCGGGUUGUAGAGCUCUUUCGGCAGGAACGAAACGGUGGGGGCUAAUAUCCUCUGCUAAUGACGGUACCUGAAGAAGAAGCACCGGCUAACUACGUGCCAGCAGCCGCCGCUGUAA